rnacentral:lncRNA from 1 species
AUAACGCGCACAGACGGCCCAGAUUGCAUCGCGUAUGGACGGCCCAGAUUGAAUCGCGAUGAACGGCCUAGAUUCAUUCUCUAUUUAAUCGCGAUCAGACGGUCUAGAUUAAAAGCGAUGGAUGGCUCAGAUCAAAAGUGAAUGGGUAUAAAUAACCUCAUCCGCACCCAAACCCUAACCCUAGCCGCGAGAGCCCCUCACCGGAGA